UACGGGGGGAGCAAGCGUUGUUCGGAUUUACUGGGCGUAAAGGGCGCGUAGGCGGCUCGGCACGUCCGUUGUGAAAUCGCCCGGCUCAACUGGGCGGGUCGGCGGAUACGGCCGAGCUGGAGCAAGCUAGGGGGUAAUGGAAUUCCCGGUGUAGUGGUGGAAUGCGUAGAUAUCGGGAGGAACACCAGUGGCGAAGGCGGUUACCUGGAGCUUUGCUGACGCUGAUGCGCGAAAGCGUGGGGAGCGAGUCCGG
rnacentral:rRNA from 1 species